rnacentral:rRNA from 1 species
CCUACGGGAGACAGCAGUGGGGAAUAUUGCACAAUGGGGGAAACCCUGAUGCAGCGACGCCGCGUGAGUGAAGAAGUAUUUCGGUAUGUAAAGCUCUAUCAGCAGGGAAGAAAAUGACGGUACCUGAUUAAGAAGCCCCGGCUAACUACGAGGCAGCAGCCGCGGUAAUACGUAGGGGGCAAGCGUUGUCCGGAUUUACUGGGUGGAAAGGGAGCGUAGACGGCAGCACAAGUCUGGAGUGAAAUGCCGGGGCUUAACCCCGGCACUGCUUUGGAAACUGUGCAGCUAGAGUACAGGAGAGGUAGGUGGAAUUCCUAGUGUAGCGGUGAAAUGCGUAGAUAUUAGGAGGAACACCAGUGGCGAAGGCGGCUUACUGGACUGUAACUGACGUUGAGGCUCGAAAGCGUGGGGAGCAAACAGGAUUAGAUACCCCAGUAGUC